GGCGAACCGAGCGAACGUUGUUCGGAAUCACUGGGCUUAAAGCGCGCGUAGGCGGACCUGCAAGUCGGGGGUGAAAGCCCGAGGCUCAACCUCGGAACUGCCUUCGAUACUGCGGGUCUCGAGUCCGGGAGAGGUGAGUGGAAUUCCUAGUGUAGAGGUGAAAUUCGUAGAUAUUAGGAAGAACACCAGUGGCGAAGGCGGCUCACUGGCCCGGUACUGACGCUGAGGCGCGAAAGCGUGGGGAGCAAACAGG
rnacentral:rRNA from 1 species